rnacentral:lncRNA from 1 species
GGAAGGCGGGGCUAGGCCGUCAUUCAACUUGGCCCCGCCGAUCAGGGCGGGACUACGCGCGCCCUGGGCCCGCCCAGGAAGGUUCCGCAGGUAGAAGGCAGGCGCCCGGUCUACGACGUCAUCGCGCUGACGCCGGCGUCCACUCGGCCCCGCCUGCUCCGUUGAAAAUGCCGAACCUAACAUGGCGGCGCGCGCUCGGCCCGCUUCACCCUGGUGUUUCCUCUCGCGCGGGCACUCUUCAGAGAGGAGAGACCCUCUUGGACAAGAGAGGCAGGCUGCAAAAGCCCACUGAACGUGCUUCUGAUAUUCAGGGAGAGGGAAACCCAGCCCCAGCGACCUGCAGAAAGAGGCGGCUUUGGCUUCCGUCACGUUGAGUGGUGCGGGUCCAUCAGAAGCUCCAAGGACACCCCUAAGGUAUUCUGGCUCCGACAGGGUCUUCCUCCCCCCAGCUUUCUGGAAAAUUUCAUAUUCCGGGCACCUCCUCUUCGGACAAGGGUGUCUUGUGUCUUCGAGUCCAGCUGGAGAGCCUGCCAGGCAAAUAGCACAGGCCAUUCAGUCCCGGAGCGGCUUUAUAUAUGCAGGGCGGAAGCCAAGGCCAAAGCGUGUUCAUUGUCCCAGACGCGCUGGUUCCAGGCAGCCUGGCGAGUUCAGACGCGGCGAUUGGGUCCGUGAAAGGUAGGAUGUGGACACGUGUUUCCCAUCAGUACAUCCGCCCCUGCUCACACCAU